rnacentral:rRNA from 1 species
UACAGAGGGGGCAAGCGUUGUUCGGAAUUACUGGGCGUAAAGGGCGCGUAGGCGGCCCGCUAAGUCGAACGUGAAAUCCCCGAGCUCAACUCGGGAACUGCGUCCGAUACUGGAAGGCUUGAAUCCGGGAGAGGGAUGUGGAAUUCCAGGUGUAGCGGUGAAAUGCGUAGAUAUCUGGAGGAACACCGGUGGCGAAGGCGACAUCCUGGACCGGUAUUGACGCUGGGGCGCGAAAGCCAGGGGAGCAAACGGG